rnacentral:rRNA from 1 species
GACGAACGCUGGCGGCGUGCUUAACACAUGCAAGUCGAACGGAAAGGCCCUGCUUUUGUGGGGUGCUCGAGUGGCGAACGGGUGAGUAACACGUAAGUAACCUGCCCUUGACUUUGGGAUAACUUCAGGAAACUGGGGCUAAUACCGGAUAGGAGCUCCUGCUGCAUGGUGGGGGUUGGAAAGUUUCGGCGGUUGGGGCUGGACUCGCGGCUUAUCAGCUUGUUGGGGGGGUAGUGGCUUACCAAGGCUUUGACGGGUAGCCGGCCUGGGAGGGUGACCGGCCACAUUGGGACUGAGAUACGGCCCAGACUCCUACGGGAGGCAGCAGUGGGGAAUAUUGCACAAUGGGCGGAAGCCUGAUGCAGCAACGCCGCGUGCGGGAUGACGGCCUUCGGGUUGUAAACCGCUUUCGCCUGUGACGAAGCGUGAGUGACGGUAAUGGGUAAAGAAGCACCGGCUAACUACGUG